UAAGGAAUAUUGGUCAAUGGGGGCAACCCUGAACCAGCCAUGCCGCGUGCAGGAAGACGGCCCUAUGGGUUGUAAACUGCUUUUGUACCAGAGAAAACCCCGAUACGUGUAUCGGGUUGAUAGUACGGUAAGAAUAAGCAUCGGCUAACUUCGUGCCAGCAGCCGCGGUAAGACGAAGGAUGCAAGCGUUAUCCGGAUUCAUUGGGUUUAAAGGGUGCGUAGGCGGACUGAUAAGUCAGUGGUGAAAUCUCUCAGCUUAACUGAGAAACUGCCAUUGAUACUGUUAGUCUAGAGUAUAGAUGACGUUGGCGGAAUAUGACAUGUAGUGGUGAAAUACUUAGAUAUGUCAUAGAACACCGAUUGCGAAGGCAGCUAACGAAACUAUAACUGACGCUGAGGCACGAAAGUGCGGGGAUCAAACAG
rnacentral:rRNA from 1 species